UACGUAGGGUGCGAGCGUUGUCCGGAAUUACUGGGCGUAAAGAGCUUGUAGGUGGUUUGUCGCGUUGUCCGUGAAAACUCACAACUCAAUUGUGGGCGUGCGGGCGAUACGGGCAGACUGGAGUACUGCAGGGGAGACUGGAAUUCCUGGUGUAGCGGUGGAAUGCGCAGAUAUCAGGAGGAACACCGGUGGCGAAGGCGGGUCUCUGGGCAGUAACUGACGCUGAGGAGCGAAAGCGUGGGGGAGCGAACAGG
rnacentral:rRNA from 1 species